ACUGGGUUGGCCGAGUGGUUAAGGCGUUGGACUUAAGUUCCAAUGGACAAGUGUCCGCGUGGGUUCGAAACCCACACCCAGUA
rnacentral:tRNA from 1 species